AGACCGAUAGCGAACAAGUAGAGUGAUCGAAAGAUGAAAAGCACUUUGAAAAGAGAGUUAAACAGCAUGUGAAAUUGUUGAAAGGGAAGCGCUUGCAGCCAGACUCGGCCGCGGAGGCUCAGCGGGCAUUCUUGCCCGUGCACUCCCCCGCGGUCGGGCCAGCAUCAGUUUAGGCGGUCGGUCAAAGGCCCCCGGAAUGUGUCGCCUUCGGGCGUCUUAUAGCCGGGGGUACAAUGCGGCCAGCCCGGACUGAGGAACGCGCUUCGGCACGGAUGCUGGCAUAAUGGCUGUAAGCGACCCGUCUUGAAACACGGACCAAG
rnacentral:rRNA from 1 species